rnacentral:rRNA from 1 species
ACGAACGCUGGCGGCAUGCCUAACACAUGCAAGUCGAACGAGACCUUCGGGUCUAGUGGCGCACGGGUGCGUAACGCGUGGGAAUCUGCCCUUCGGUUCGGAAUAACAGUUAGAAAUGACUGCUAAUACCGGAUGAUGACGUAAGUCCAAAGAUUUAUCGCCGAAGGAUGAGCCCGCGUAAGAUUAGCUUGUUGGUGAGGUAAAGGCUCACCAAGGCUACGAUCUUUAGCUGGUCUGAGAGGAUGAUCAGCCACACUGGGACUGAGACACGGCCCAGACUCCUACGGGAGGCAGCAGUGGGGAAUAUUGGACAAUGGGGGAAACCCUGAUCCAGCAAUGCCGCGUGAGUGAUGAAGGCCUUAGGGUUGUAAAGCUCUUUUACCCGGGAUGAUAAUGACAGUACCGGGAGAAUAAGCUCCGGCUAACUCCGU